rnacentral:lncRNA from 12 species
UCUUGAGGUUGUCACGAGAAUAAAUUGAUUUUGUGCCAUUUUUGUCCUCAUUACAGUCUUUGUCAUGAGAAUGGCUUCAUUUCGAGCCAUUUUUGUUCCUGUGGCCAUUUUCAGCACGAGAGAAGAGACUCCUCCAUGGGAAGGAAGAGACACCACCUCAGCUGCGGAUCUUCAAGCAAGUUUAGAUUUGAAAGCGUUUUCCCCAGUAGAGCAUGGAUGUGGCCAAAGUGAGGAGGACUUUGGGGAGCCUGGGGGACAACACACAGAAAUUGAUGGAUCCAUUUGUUUCGUAAGGGAAGAGGAAGAAGGACAAGGUCACAAACAUCCGCCUGGUGAGGACAUCAGAAAAGGUGAAGUCACCCCCUGUCGGGUGACAUUGACGCUUGCCGGCGGGGCAUCUGAGAACCCAGGGAAGCCCAUCUCAGAAGCUUCCAGCACCGUGGCUGCGAGGCGCUGCCAUCAGCCGUCCUGCGAAUGCCAGGGCCUUCAUGAAGAGCUGGAGAAGCCACCGACUUCCCUUGGAGACGCGGGCUCUCCCCGGCCAUCCACCUCUGUCCCGCGGGAGGCGGCCACGUCUUCACCUCCCGGGCUGGGCCUGCGAGCGGCGACGGGAGUCAGUCUGCAGCCCAGGAGGAGAUGCACUUAUAUCAAUGAGAGAUAAAUCCCAGCUAGAAAUACAGGUCCCUGACAACCUAAUCACUGAAACCCUGUCAAGUAACCCCUAAUUUUGAAGCGAGUGGUUAAUUCCCAGCAAAUUGAUUUAUGCACUGUUUGAGGUUUGGCGAGUUGUGUUGUUCAUCUGUUAUUACCAGGAACUCGGCCCUGCCUAUUCAUUUAGAGCAUUGACACAACCCAGUGCAUCUCCCAAGAAAAUCUCCUUUGUCAGCACAUCUAGAAUUUGCUAAUUAAAUCAACGAUGACAUUAUUCACUAUCUCAAGAAAAAAAAAAAAAGGCAGCCCCUCUCCCCAGCGCCGGGUCUGUUCCUCCUCCUGCUUCUUGUUUCUCUCUCACACUCUCUUUAACUCUGAGUUUCGCCAGCACCAAAAAUCUUGGAAGUUCAUGCAGCCUUUCCUGGGCUUUAUUUUGUCUGCCAGGAGCAGCAAACAGAGAGCAGCCCUCUAGUCUCGAUCGGGAGUGGACACACACGCACACACGUGUCUGGGCCCAAGUUCGCACCACGCUCCAGUGCAUGUGCACAUGAGCACCGGCCACUUAGGCAGGCCACAGCGACAGAAGGGCCUUCGGGGAAAGUCACGACGAUCCCAGGCACCUAAGAGCCCAGCUUCUUCAUUGUCUACCACAGUGUGGAUGUCUUUCAAAUGAUAGGGUUGGCCGGCACGACAGGCAUUGUCUGGCCUACUCCAGCUGAAGCACACUCCGAAUACAAGAAGGACAGGCUGUCCCCAGGGCUCUAUAAUUAUGGGCCCGUGAUGUCUCUGCUUCUCUUUGGGUUCCAACUCAGAAGGAAAUACACAGAAGGGGUGGAAUGAGCCAUGUCACAACGCCAAGAAGUUUUAGGUCACAUUUUUCCCUGCACUGGAAUGUUCUUUUUCAAUUCACAGAUAUUAAAAAGCAAAAAUGGGGGAAAAGUUUUUGGACAUUUUUAGGUUGUUGUAAUGACAACCUAAAAAAGUUUCCCCUCCUAUAGACGAGAAGUCAAAUGAUAGCGAAAUCAGAAGCAGAAUAAACAAUUCCUCAGGUUCA